rnacentral:rRNA from 1 species
AUUGAAAGCUGGCGGCAGGCCUAACACAUGCAAGUCGAGCGGAGCGGCGGACGGGUGAGUAAUGCCUAGGAAUCUGCAUGGUAGUGGGGGAUAACGUCCGGAAACGGGCGCUAAUAACGCAUACUAGCAGAUGAGCCUAGGUCGGAUUAGCUCGUUGGUGGGGUAAAGGCAUACAAAGGCGACGAUCCGUAACUGGUAUGAGAGGAUGAUCAGUCACACUGGAACUUAGACACGGUCCAGACUCCUACGGGAGGCAGCAGUGGGGAAUAUUGGACAAUGGGCGAAAGCCUGAGCCAGCCAUGCCGCGGGUGUGAAGAAGGUCUUCGGAUUGGAAAGCACGUUAAGUUGGGAGGCGUUACCAACAGAAUAAGCACCGGCUAACUUCGUGCCAGCAGCCGCGGUAAUUC